GAUCUUUUUCUCUCACAUCCGUUUCUGCCAUUACACUAUCCUCCAUGAAGCGACACAACCAAUAGAGACUCUCAGUAGAGGUGUUGCAGUGCUGUUUAAAAUUCUGAACUCCAAAACAUUUGCUCUCACAACCAUAAACCAAAACCAGAUUUCCUCUGUAGCAGUACCUAGACAGAAGAAAGUUUUGAUCUUCGGAAAAUUGUCUUAUCAAAUGCUCAAACAGGAAUUGAAUCCUUCCAAAGUUAACCAUAUACGUCUGGAAAUAAAGAGCUGUGUCUUUGGCUGUAGCCUAAUAUAAGAACUGUGCCUGACAGGGGAAUUUGAUGUUGAAUAGGUGUGUUAGUCUGAUUUUUAUAGCUGUGACCAAUAUACCUGAAAAGAACAACUCAGAAAAGAAAAAAAGUUGAUUUUAAGAUCACAGUGUUAGAGUUUUAGCCCACCUGCUGACUUGAUUUCUCUGAGCCUGAAGUGAGGCAAACCACAAUAGUGUAAGUGAGUAGUGGAGAAAAACAAUACACUUCAUGUUAGUCAGGAAGCAGAGAGUGAGAAYAAGGAGCCAGAGCCAAAAUAUACUCAAUACUAAAGGGCAUGUUCCCAGUGACCUAAUUCCUUCAGCCAUCCCCCACCUUCAUACAAUUACUAUAUGUAGUCCAUUGAAAUUAUUAAUCCAUCA